GAUGAACGCUGGCGGCGUGCCUAACACAUGCGAGUCGAACGGAAAGACCCUGAGCUUGUGCUCUUACCGUUAGCGGCUGGCGGGCGUGUCACGCGUGCAUCGUCAUCUUCUUUUUCGGGGAUCAUAACGUAACGCAGGUUACGAUAAUACAGCAUAUCAUGUACCGCUGGGAGCAAUGGAUCUUCUCGGCUUUCGCGAUUGAAUUAGCCGCUUUCGGACUAGAUAGUUGGGUGGGUAAGGGCCUACCAAGGCAACGAUACGUAGCUUAUCUGAGAGGAUGAUCGGCCACACUGGAACGGAGACACGGUCCAGACUCCUACGGGAGGCAGCAGUGGGGAAUAUUCGGCAAUGGGCGCAAGCCUGACAGAGCGAUACCGCGUGGGUGAAGAAGGCCUUCGGGUCGUAAAGCCCUUUUGUUGGGAAAGAAAAGCUGUAGGAUAAGACACCGCUGUUGUGACGGUACCUAAUAAAUAAGCACCGGCUAACUACGUG
rnacentral:rRNA from 1 species